CCAAUACCCACAUGGCACUGAAAUGUCUCCUGCUAUGUCACAUCAAUAGAAAAUCAGUUCAAAGGCUGACCCAUCUUUCGAGGUUGUGGCAUGUCACGAUGCACAUCUGUGGUCUGGCCUGUGGUAGUUUCUGGGAUGGAGGGAGUCUACAGGAAUAACAUCGAUGAUGUUGAGAGAUAUCUCAAUUCUACAUGCAAAUGCAGAAGCGACUGGUGCAGGCACUGACGAACACAGCGACGUGAAGCCCGUGAGCCAGUGGCUGAACCGGGUCGAACCAGGCGUUUAAGGCAAGUACGAAAACCCCCAUGUGUUUGGUGGAUAAAGUUUUUGUAUUUGCUGAUUUCUCAGUGCAGUCGUGAUAUUCAGGUCAGAGCCACAGCCCAGAGAGAAGUGCAUAUAUGAUCUGAAGCUUGUGAAGAUGCUACGACGUUGCGGCCCACGGGGGAAUUCCUCUUCACACUGGAGCGGUGAGAUUUGGAGAGCCGUGGCUAGGAUGUGCUCCGCUUUAUAAAGACUUCAUCAGACAGUACUGCUCGGCUCUGGACGCAGGAACAUGAUGUCACAGCCAGACGGCCCCUAGGUCCCCACGCACCAUCCAGUCCAAAGUUCUGAUCCUGACGUCACUGUAACAUCGACCAUCUGUGCUCCACGCUAUGUUCAAUGGUAACAGACCGUCAGUGUGUUUUUUAAUUCAGCUAUGCUGCCAGAUCCUGAAGACAGACUACAGAAAAGCCAGUUGCCCAGGUAAAGCAGGUACGACUUAUUAUUUUAGUUAUUUUUAAACUCACUUGCUCAUUAUGAUGAGAUCUACUUUGUACAUCUCAAAGAAACAAGGCCAGUUUGACCACCUCUCUUUUACUGCAUAAAAAAGAUACAGAUAAAUCAGUAGUAACUAAACUACAAAUACUAACCUUGAAUAUGAAUCAAAACACAAAGAAAGCUUGAGAUUUGACUGAAAGUAAAGUGGCUUUAAGUUACAUUCAAAAGCUAAUUUUAUCAUUUUAAAAUUAAGGUUUUUAUUUCAUUGCAUUCACUGUGUAGUUUUUAAUUGUAACUCUUAUUAUGCAAAAACGUUUAAGAUGAAGACAUAUAUGAAGAUAUAUAUGUCGUUCAGGUGAAGGGUAAGGAAAGGUAUGAAAUAUUGAAGAAAAUAAACGACAGUUUGGAACUUAGCGACGUUAUGCCUCCAUGUGACUUAGACAAAUACAGACAGAAACUGAGUCUAUCGGCUCAAACAAGUCUGUAUUUUCACCUCCCAGUCCAAUCAGAACCUGUGGAGGUGUGCGUACAACAGCCAGGCAACUUAAAACUAGGAAACAACAGGAAUGGUAAAAGAUGGAUGUGUCUGCUUUUAACUCCAUGUCACAAAGCUGACAGGUCAGUAAAAAUUCAAUGUUUUUGUUUGAGUUCUAUUCUGAGAAAAUUGUUGUGGCUGCGUGGUGUGUCCUUUUUUAUUUCGGCUCCCAUGUUAAUAGGUUUGAGCUUGCACACUGCCUGCGAUCUUAGGCUGCAACAUCAUUCAAAUGGAAUAUGCGCUCUUUCAGCAGUCGGACUGACUGAAGGAGAUCUGACCAUGCAGGUUCUGGAGCUUUCUGAGGGACCUUUUUGGGCUAAUGAAGCAGAUGAUGGUGAGAUGGAUAUCGGCGUGGAUUUAAGUCUUGAUGAAAAUGGCAUUUUAUGGCUAGAGCCACUCUCAAAUGUCAGUCAUAUAACUGCAUUCACAGAACUUUCAGAGGAACACAGUGACGGCGUGCCCUCGGAGACCAUCUCAGCCUAACGCACCGGAUGUAGGACAGACAUGCUGUCUGGCCACACAACCAGAGAAAUUAACCUCAAUAAGGACAAGUACUGGCCCACGGACCUGACGGACCUCAGCCAAACUGCCAUGCUUUAGCUCUUGGGUCUCUGUGCAUCAGCUCAGCCAGCCACACAGCAGAAAGAGGAGGCGCACCAGCCCAUGUGCUUAAAGCACUACUGGUCCCAGGAGAUAGCAGAGCUUCCUCGACCCAUCCAGCAUCCAGGUGAGUCUUUAGAAAUGAAACAAUUCAUUCUAACACAAUGUCUGGUUUUCAGUGAGUCGGAGAAGAUAGUGUCUGAAAAGAAGCCCGCAGGAACGGUGUCUCCUCCGACAUGAAGUCCCACUCCAGAGCUCCGCCCUCAUCAGUGCAACACAACACAAUGGCCAGACACCUGGGUGUGGACACUUCCAUGCUCCGUAGAGCCAUCUGGAACUAUAUUCAGUGCAAGUUCGGGAUUCGGUAAGUCUCUUCACUGCUCACAGUUUCAGAAAUAUGUAGCAACAUUGAAUACAUUUAUUCAUUCUACAAAGAACCUUUUAAAAUGAUAAAGAUGUCUCCGAGACUCCCCCGGAGCCUUCAAAUAAGCACCAGCGGGAGAUCAUUUGUUUAUGCAUCUCAACAGGUCCAAGGCCAGCGGUUUAACAUACGCUUCUGGCAUGUGUGCGCUGAGAUGCUGGACCAGAGGAGGACAGACAUGCUGUACGGACAAGCUGUCUCUCCACUACUCACAGUUUGCAUUCAUGCAUUCAAUGUACCA